UGUGUGUGUGCGUGUCUGUUUGUGACUGCGUGUCCGUGUGUGUGUGUUUCUUUGUUUGUUUGUGCGUGUCUAAUUGGUUGUGUUUGUUUCUUUGUGUAUGUGUGAGUGAAUGCGUGUGGAUGAAUCCGUGUGUCAUCAAUUAAAUGUCUCUCUCUGCCCAGGCUGACACUUUACAAUUUCAAGACUGGCAACUAAAACCCUGUUUUGUGUUUACUUUACAAUUUCAAGACUGGCAUCUAAAACCCGGUUUUGUGUUUACGUUAUGAUCUUUUUUAUGAACUGUGGUAGUGUUAUAUAUCUCUUUGUGUAUUUUGUAAUGAAGUUAAUUUAAAUAACAUUUUGGUGUAGAAAAGGAAAUGAGCUUAAGAAUUAUUUUUUAUGAUUUGACAGUUAACAAUACUGACAUGAAGAAACAUAAUUGGACGAUCUUUAGGUGGAGUAGCUGGGUUAGAUGGGUUUUAUUCUCCAUGUUCAGGGCGAUUUUGGAUCCGGGCUUUUGGAUCUUCAUGCUAUGGAUGAUACAGAGCUUUUGUAUGAGGAAGAAGUUAUUCAAUCAAGUAGUCAGAUUGAGUCGCCCGGAAUGCACAUGAUUUAUCUUCCAUAUUCUGAUGACAUCAAACUUGUUGAAGAGAGUUGUUCUGAUACAAGUGGGAUGGUGACUAAAGCAAGUAGUGAUUAAAUAAAAAAGGCAGCUGAUUUAAUUAAGCGUCUUGACUUGAAAGAUUUUUCUGUAUGACAAUUUACCAACCAUGCUGCACGAAUGCUUUGGAGCAGCUCUAGUAGGAAUGGGACCUGCAACUCUGUUGUCCCUUGUACCUUUGAAUUUGGAAGCUUGAGAUUGGAUAAUGUGCACUAGUUUGCGACUUCUGAUUCAGCAAAACAAUAUUUUGGAUUUAGAACACAAGGGUUAUAUUGAUGAGGAUAUGGCCAAAGAACAAGUUCAUUAUUCACAACAGGUUGCAAGAGACAAUUUAUAUGUGCUGAAAUCAUCUGCAAAGAACUGGUUAAAAGAUUUAUCAGAAGUAUUCCUUAAAUCUACAAAAGAUGAUGGUGGUUGUUUGCAGGUACUAAAAUUUAAAUAAUUAGGAAUGGUUCUACAAUUUACUAUAGAUGAAUAGAAUGUAAAUCUUGCCUAACACAACAUAUAGUUAGAGUUUUCUGUUCUGUAUAUGUUGGUGUUCUCUCUUUUCGUUUUUCUUCCAUGUUUUUUAUUUCCUAGUUGUGAUUGAUAUUAAUCCUUUAUUAUUCACAAAAUAUGUUUUAAGCUUCAUUGUAACGCCAUAUUUGAUACAGAUUUUGUUAUCUAAUGUUCAUUAGAUUAGAUUUACUUAUUAUAUAUAAAUUGGUUGAGACACUUAUUGUCCUGUGUCAAUUAGUAUGUUGUAGUAGAAAAGAUGCAGACGGUUUAUGUAGAUAGUUGUCAAAGAAAUUGUCAUAAGCUUUUUUUGCUUCAGACACGGUUCUGUAUCGGCAUUCCAAAUUUCUCAUUUAGGUUGGUGAAAAAAACGAGAGGUGUCAGACAACANCACGUGAGGGUUUUUCUUCAUGAAGAAAAUAAAGGCUUCCAAAAUUUAUGUUGUUUUCACUUUGCGUGAUGAAAGUCUUUGCGUGCUAAGAUGAAAAAGAAGAGAAGGCAAGGUAGUAGNGUAAGAGUGGUGGNUAAAGAAAAGGUGAUGUUUUCUGUACUUAUAGCUAUCGUGUCAGUCAUUAAAAGGAAAAUUUUGAUGGAUGGAGAUAGAGCAUUGGAACAAGCAGGUGUAUCAUUCUCCUUUUCAAAUUAUAACUAUGGGAAAUAUAACUAUGGCUUAUUGUAAAUGUAUCUCAUUAAUUUAUUUUAAUAUGAAGUUUAUGU